CCUGCCCUGGAAGUGUUGCAGGUGUGGCUGCUGUGUCACAUAUUCACCAGCAGGUGGCAGAGAGGAGCAAGGCUGUGUCCACAUUCCGUGUUCUGACCUGUCACAUCUGAAUGAGCAGUAGCUGAACACU